GAAAGAAAAACUUGCAAAUGGAUGAAGGAAAAUUCAUGAAAAAGUUGAUUAUAUGGAGUGAAUGUUCUUCAAGAAACUUUUUUUUUUAUUUUUGAAUUUUUUUUUUUUUUUUUUUUUUUUUGAGAUGGACUCGCUGUGAGUUUUUUCUUUGAGUUCGCCAGUAACCCCGAAACGUUCGUGGAUGGAGCAAAGGGGUCAAAAAUAAAAAAAAAAACAAAAAAAAACACCCCACCUGGACUUGGGUGUGAGACGUGCUGCCGUGGCUCCAAGACUGACUGAUAGUAACUUAUCAUCGAGGUCGCAGCGGCGGCGGGAGAGCCGGUCGUCGGCGGAGGAGGCGGAGACGCCUCCACUUCCUCUCCAAACCCGGCGGAGGCCUCCGGAGCUGAAGGGUGACCGCUCGAGGAAAAACGCUCGGUAUUGGAAUCUGGCUGUACUUUAUUUGCUGCCCUCUGCAAGGAGGAUCUAUUCUACAGCCAGCCCAUGAGCCAGUUGUCCCUAAACCUGUCCCUUUGAACUUUAACCCCCCUCCCC